UCAUUUCUUUCUUUCCUUUUGACCAACUUUUAUUCUCACGACCUUCUUUCGCUCGUUUGUAAAAGAACACGAAAUCAUCUUUCGUUGUCCAUCACUUAAGAACAAUAGACACACGCACGCACACACACACACACCUACAAACACACACACACACACCUACAAACACACACAAACACACACACGCACACAUUAAUGUGUUAAUUUACAUAAACAUAUUUUGACAAUUACACACGCACACGCGCGCGCGCGCAGAGUUGUCAUCUCGCCCUAGGUUGGUUGGUCCUGAUCCAGACAGGCGUAUGAUCAAAAGCCACUCCAGUCUCUUUCUACCGGGACAUCAAGGACUACAACAUCCAACGUGUCCUCCCUUUUUUAAGACUGUGGAGCUUAAUUUGAGGGUUUUUCAAAAUUUUUGGGACGUGCUGACCAAACAAUGCCUCGCCAUACCAAAUGGUGGCAUGUCUGAUGUGAGCAAUGGCCGUUUCUACUUCAGUGUACCUCCACCACCUCCACCACAACCUCCACCGCAACCAACAGACCGGAACCUCCGUGUCUUGUCCCAACUCUGUAUGCAGGCUGCUACCCCGAUGACAUCAUCAAGAUCAGCAAUAAUGCCGGUGACAACUGUCACCUUUCCGGAUGAGGACAGCCGCUCCCUUGGAUAUAAAGCUUACCACACAUUAAUCAAUGGACGUAGUUGUAAUGGUUCAGAUUCAUCUCAGCCACGACCCGUGUGCCUCUCCUUUGGACAUUCAGUUGAAGGGGUGUUACAAAAGGGACCCCAGUGUGGCUUUGCGGCCCUCUACAUGGGUGCACGUCUUUGGAAGAUGGACAGUUUUUCACUUGAUCGACUGGUCAACAUUGGUCAGCAGAAAGGAUACACCAUUCAAGGAGAACUGUUUUCAGCUUACUUUAUGGAAGACCUCGCUCGAGAAUUCUGCUACUCCCAAGUGGUUGACACGGCUAAACUUUGUCUCAACGUCAUCUGGGAAUGUCUCCUGCAGGGAUAUCUCAUACUUGUGCCUUAUGAUUCUGACAAAAACUACCAACCGUGUCUGAAGAGGGGACAUAAGGCCCACUGGUCACUUCUCACAGGUUGUUUCAUAGUUUUGAAACAUUCCUGCAAGCCGUUUCUGCAGAAUUGUUUCGAGCAAGAUUUAGAUGAGCCGUCGUUGUUUCACACAGACAUCGACGAAGAUCAUAUCGAUCCAGAAGUACGGAAGAAUCUAGUUAAUAACAUUGAAGAAAUAUUUGUUUAUACAAUGCAGGGUAAGAGUCGAAGGCCUGGAAUAUGGUCCCUUAGGGAUCUUUUUGCCAGCAACCAGAACCUUUAAUAAGCCAACUUCGAAACAAAUACUUUUUCUCCCCGAAGCAGGACGAAAUUCAAGAAGUGACAUACCAAGCUAAAUAUGGGCAACAGGUCACGUGAUUUAACAAGAGCAGUGACGUCAUCAAUGGGCGAUUAUUUCAGAAUGGGCUAUUCUUCUAUCAUGUCUGUCUUUAUUGAUCUUAAAAUUCUUCACUGAUAUUUUGACAUGAAAUACAGAAACCUUUAAUAUUUCAGAUAACCUAUUCAAAAAUAACAAUGCCACACAUUUUGAUAUUUUUCCUGACUAUCUCCGUAGCAAAAUCAGCCAUAACUACAGGGAAAAGCCACAACCGCAGUAAGAGACGCAACGUAGACAUUGCGCCAAUAGAUCCUGAUCUCGUCAUUGUUAAUACUGACCGGAGUCCGACAAAUCCCGACCUGAUCAUUAUUAAUACUGAACCGAGUACAAAAAAAACUGAGCAGUCCACUACCACCCCAUAUUCUACCGAAGACGCUUACGAUAUACCCGAGAACGACGUAACGCAGUCUUAUGAAACGGAAGAAGUAGAAGUGGAACCGCGAAGCAAAUGGAAAAGAUAUUCCGCUUACAUCGCCAUCAGUGGCAGUGUCCUAUUAUUGACUGUCGUCAUCUACGGUCUUUGGAGAAACGUAUUAUGUAGUCUGUCCAUCCUCUUAUGUCCUUGCAUUGCCAUCGCCUUUCCUUGUUUGUACUUUUAUUUCAAAAGUUUCGAUCCGGUGAAGCUAAUGAAAUUGGACCCUAAUAAAUAUAUACCCGGACUAAUCAUUAGAGAUGAUUGCGUAAGGAUACAAUACAGUCCGACGCCGGAGGAGAUGUACUGGUUGGCAGACGUGAUCGACAAGAUCGAAACAGCUUAGAUCUCUCGCUUUCCUGUUGCUUUAUUAUUUGGCCGGGCUACGCUUAGGGUUUGAAGAAAGUAUGCGCAUCAAGUAUCGCUUGUGAAAAUAUAGUUUGACUCAGUUUUAUGCACAAGCGCACCGUCUUACAUACAUAGUCUCUCUCUCUUUCUCUCCCCCUCUGUCUGCUUGUCUGUCUGUCUUUGUGUCUGUCUGUCUGUCUGUCUCUCUCUCUCUGAC